UAGGGAAUCUUCCACAAUGGACGCAAGUCUGAUGGAGCAACGCCGCGUGAGUGAAGAAGGUUUUCGGACCGUAAAGCUCUGUUGUUGGUGAAGAAGGAUAGAGGUAGUAACUGGCCUUUAUUUGACGGUAAUCAACCAGAAAGUCACGGCUAACUACGUGCCAGCAGCCGCGGUAAUACGUAGGUGGCAAGCGUUGUCCGGAUUUAUUGGGCGUAAAGCGAGCGCAGGCGGAAGAAUAAGUCUGAUGUGAAAGCCCUCGGCUUAACCGAGGAAUUGCAUCGGAAACUGUUUUUCUUGAGUGCAGAAGAGGAGAGUAGAACUCCAUGUGUAGCGGUGGAAUGCGUAGAUAUAUGGAAGAAUACCAGUGGCGAAGGCGGCUCUCUGGUCUGCAACUGACGCUGAGGCUCGAAAGCAUGGGUAGCGAACAGGAUUAGAUACCCUGGUAGUC
rnacentral:rRNA from 1 species